GCGGCUGUAGUAUAGUCUGGUUAGUACUUGGGCCUUCCAAGCCUACAGCCCGGGUUCAAAUCCCGGCAGCCGCAC
rnacentral:tRNA from 4 species